rnacentral:rRNA from 1 species
GGGACACGUGGUAUCCUGUCUGAAUAUGGGGGGACCAUCCUCCAAGGCUAAAUACUCCUGACUGACCGAUAGUGAACCAGUACCGUGAGGGAAAGGCGAAAAGAACCCCGGCGAGGGGAGUGAAAAAGAACCUGAAACCGUGUACGUACAAGCAGUGGGAGCCUCUUAAUGGGGUGACUGCGUACCUUUUGUAUAAUGGGUCAGCGACUUAUAUUCUGUAGCAAGGUUAACCGAAUAGGGGAGCCGAAGGGAAACCGAGUCUUAACUGGGCGUUAAGUUGCAGGGUAUAGACCCGAAACCCGGUGAUCUAGCCAUGGGCAGGUUGAAGGUUGGGUAACACUAACUGGAGGACCGAACCGACUAAUGUUGAAAAAUUAGCGGAUGACUUGUGGCUGGGGGUGAAAGGCCAAUCAAACCGGGAGAUAGCUGGUUCUCCCCGAAAGCUAUUUAGGUAGCGCCUCGUGAAUUCAUCUCCGGGGGUAGAGCACUGUUUCGGCAAGGGGGUCAUCCCGACUUACCAACCCGAUGCAAACUGCGAAUACCGGAGAAUGUUAUCACGGGAGACACACGGCGGGUGCUAACGUCCGUCGUGAAGAGGGAAACAACCCAGACCGCCAGCUAAGGUCCCAAAGUCAUGGUUAAGUGGGAAACGAUGUGGGAAGGCCCAGACAGCCAGGAUGUUGGCUUAGAAGCAGCCAUCAUUUAAAGAAAGCGUAAUAGCUCACUGGUCGAGUCGGCCUGCGCGGAAGAUGUAACGGGGCUAAACCAUGCACCGAAGCUGCGGCAGCGACGCUUAUGCGUUGUUGGGUAGGGGAGCGUUCUGUAAGCCUGUGAAGGUGUGCUGUGAGGCAUGCUGGAGGUAUCAGAAGUGCGAAUGCUGACAUAAGUAACGAUAAAGCGGGUGAAAAGCCCGCUCGCCGGAAGACCAAGGGUUCCUGUCCAACGUUAAUCGGGGCAGGGUGAGUCGACCCCUAAGGCGAGGCCGAAAGGCGUAGUCGAUGGGAAACAGGUUAAUAUUCCUGUACUUGGUGUUACUGCGAAGAGGGGACGGAGAAGGCUAUGUUGGCCGGGCGACGGUUGUCCCGGUUUAAGCGUGUAGGCUGAUUUUCCAGGCAAAUCCGGAAAAUCAAGGCUGAGGCGUGAUGACGAGGCACUACGGUGCUGAAGCAACAAAUGCCCUGCUUCCAGGAAAAGCCUCUAAGCAUCAGGUAACAUCAAAUCGUACCCCAAACCGACACAGGUGGUCAGGUAGAGAAUACCAAGGCGCUUGAGAGAACUCGGGUGAAGGAACUAGGCAAAAUGGUGCCGUAACUUCGGGAGAAGGCACGCUGAUAUGUAGGUGAAGCGACUUGCUCGUGGAGCUGAAAUCAGUCGAAGAUACCAGCUGGCUGCAACUGUUUAUUAAAAACACAGCACUGUGCAAACACGAAAGUGGACGUAUACGGUGUGACGCCUGCCCGGUGCCGGAAGGUUAAUUGAUGGGGUUAGCGGCAACGCGAAGCUCUUGAUCGAAGCCCCGGUAAACGGCGGCCGUAACUAUAACGGUCCUAAGGUAGCGAAAUUCCUUGUCGGGUAAGUUCCGACCUGCACGAAUGGCGUAAUGAUGGCCAGGCUGUCUCCACCCGAGACUCAGUGAAAUUGAACUCGCUGUGAAGAUGCAGUGUACCCGCGGCAAGACGGAAAGACCCCGUGAACCUUUACUAUAGCUUGACACUGAACAUUGAGCCUUGAUGUGUAGGAUAGGUGGGAGGCUUUGAAGUGUGGACGCCAGUCUGCAUGGAGCCGACCUUGAAAUACCACCCUUUAAUGUUUGAUGUUCUAACGUUGGCCCGUAAUCCGGGUUGCGGACAGUGUCUGGUGGGUAGUUUGACUGGGGCGGUCUCCUCCUAAAGAGUAACGGAGGAGCACGAAGGUUGGCUAAUCCUGGUCGGACAUCAGGAGGUUAGUGCAAUGGCAUAAGCCAGCUUGACUGCGAGCGUGACGGCGCGAGCAGGUGCGAAAGCAGGUCAUAGUGAUCCGGUGGUUCUGAAUGGAAGGGCCAUCGCUCAACGGAUAAAAGGUACUCCGGGGAUAACAGGCUGAUACCGCCCAAGAGUUCAUAUCGACGGCGGUGUUUGGCACCUCGAUGUCGGCUCAUCACAUCCUGGGGCUGAAGUAGGUCCCAAGGGUAUGGCUGUUCGCCAUUUAAAGUGGUACGCGAGCUGGGUUUAGAACGUCGUGAGACAGUUCGGUCCCUAUCUGCCGUGGGCGCUGGAGAACUGAGGGGGGCUGCUCCUAGUACGAGAGGACCGGAGUGGACGCAUCACUGGUGUUCGGGUUGUCAUGCCAAUGGCACUGCCCGGUAGCUAAAUGCGGAAGAGAUAAGUGCUGAAAGCAUCUAAGCACGAAACUUGCCCCGAGAUGAGUUCUCCCUGACUCCUUGAGAGUCCUGAAGGAACGUUGAAGACGACGACGUUGAUAGGCCGGGUGUGUAAGCGCAGCGAUGCGUUGAGCUAACCGGUACUAAUGAACCGUGAGGCUUAACCUU